GAUGAUAGUGUUGUAACUAUGUGACUAACAAGGAUGAUAGCAUUGUAACUAUGUGACUAACAAGGAUGAUAGCAUUGUAACUAUGUGACUAACAAGGAUGAUAGCGUUGUAACUAUGCGACUAACAAGGAUGAUAGCAUUGUAACUAUGUGACUAACAAGGAUGAUAGUGUUGUAACUAUGUGACUAACAAGGAUGAUAGCAUUGUAACUAUGUGACUAACAAGGAUGAUAGCAUUGUAACUAUGUGACUAACAAGGAUGAUAGCGUUGUAACUAUGUGACUAACAAGGAUGAUAGCAUUGUAACUAUGUGACUAACAAGGAUGAUAGCGUUGUAACUAUGCGACUAACAAGGAUGAUAGCAUUGUAACUAUGUGACUAACAAGGAUGAUAGCAUUGUAACUAUGUGACUAACAAGGAUGAUAGCGUUGUAACUAUGCGACUAACAAGGAUGAUAGCAUUGUAACUAUGUGACUAACAAGGAUGAUAGCGUUGUAACUAUGUGACUAACAAGGAUGAUAGCGUUGUAACUAUGUGACUAACAAGGAUGAUAGUGUUGUAACUAUGUGACUAACAAGGAUGAUAGCGUUGUAACUAUGUGACUAACAAGGAUGAUAGCGUUGUAACUAUGUGACUAACAAGGAUGUUAGCGUUGUAACUAUGUGACUAACAAGGAUGAUAGUGUUGUAACUAUGUGACUAACAAGGAUGAUAGCGUUGUAACUAUGUGACUAACAAGGAUGAUAGCGUUGUAACUAUGUGACUAACAAGGAUGAUAGUGUUGUAACUAUGUGACUAACAAGGAUAAUAGCGUUGUAACUAUGUGACUAACAAGGAUGAUAGCGUUGUAACUGUGACUAACAAGGAUGAUAGUGUUGUAAUUGUGACUAACAAGGAUGAUAGUGUUGUAACUGUGACUAACAAGGAUGAUAGUGUUGUAACUGUGACUAACAAGGAUGAUAGUGUUGUAAUUAUGUGGCGGUAAAGUUGCUAGGGAUAGCACCUUGGAGUUGUUGUGACAUCACUAUGACACACAAUUUCAGUGUGACAGCCAGCAAACGCAAUGACAUUUCCUACCUGCAUGUUAUCUGUCUACUUUCUGAUUAAAACACACUCUCCGAGGUUGAAUGAACUCUCCCACCAGCCCUAAGAACUGCUGUGUGUGUGUGUGUGUGUGUGUGUGUGUGUGUGUGUGUGUGUGUGUGUGUGUGUGUGUGUGUGUGUGUGUGUGUGUGUGUGUGUGUGUGUGUGUGUGUGUGUGUGUGUGUGUGUGUGUGUGUGUGUGUGCAGUCCUUGACUGCGGUGGACUCAUGCUGAUGAGCAGUGCUGCCAGGUCCUUUGUGCUCCUCAGACGGGGGGAUAAUUGUUUUGUUCACUGCACAGCAUCUCUUUGAAGUCCUCAUUCAAUUUAUGUCUUCAGAGAUGUUCCCUCAUUCAAAGGAAGGGGUUGAGGGGAUUUUUCAGGCCCCUGUGUUGUAAUUGCAUAGCAACCUACUAAACCAUACAGAAUAUACAUAAUGUACAUAUAUAACAAGGCUAGCUAGGCAUCCCUGGUGCAGGAGUUCCAGAAGCAAGGUGUUUUUCCAGCCAUGCAGCACACCUGACUGUACUUAGCAUCUAACACACUGAGCUAAUUGAUCCAUUUCACUGAUUGAUACAUGCUCCCUCACUGCCACCCUCCAGGGUGUCCUACUGAUGAUUUCUUCAAACCUGGUCUUGGGGAAAUACAGUGUGUGUGUGCAGGCUUUUGUUCUACCACAGCACUAACACACCUGGUUCAAGCAAUCAAGCUUGAUUUGUUGAAUGGUGUGUGUUAAAAUGUGAUUUUAUAUGGCAGAGGCAGAGGCGGUGACUGUGACUCCUCCCAGGUCUCUCCUCUGACUCUCUAAGGACAGGUCUGUGUGGAUGAAUAGUAUUGGGCUGUGGAGGCUGACUCUCUCUACGAACAGGUCUGUGUGGAUGAAUAGUAUUGGGCUGUGGAGGCUGACUCUCUCUACGGACAGGUCUGUGUGGAUGAAUAGUAUUGGGCUGUGGAGGCUGAUUCUCUCUAAGGACAGGUCUGUGUGGAUGAAUAUUACUGGGCUGUGGAGGCUGACUCUCUCUACGAACAGGUCUGUGUGGAUGAAUAGUAUUGGGCUGUGGAGGCUGACUCUCUCUACGGACAGGUCUGUGUGGAUGAAUAGUAUUGGGCUGUGGAGGCUGGCUCUCUCUACGAACAGGUCUGUGUGGAUGAAUAGUAUUGGGCUGUGGAGGCUGACUCUCCCUAAGGACAGGUCUGUGUGGAUGAAUAGUAUUGGGCUGUGGAGGCUGACUCUCUCUACGGACAGGUCUGUGUGGAUGAAUAGUAUUGGGCUGUGGAGGCUGACUCUCCCUAAGGACAGGUCUGUGUGGAUGAAUAGUAUUGGGCUGAGGAGGCUGACUCUCUCUACGGACAGGUCUGUGUGGAUGAAUAGUAUUGGGCUGUGGAGGCUAACUCUCCCUAAGGACAGGUCUGUGUGGAUGAAUAGUAUUGGGCUGUGGAGGCUAACUCUCCCUAAGGACAGGUCUGUGUGGAUGAAUAGUAUUGGGCUGUGGAGGCUGACUCUCCCUAAGGACAGGUCUGUGUGGAUGAAUAGUAUUGGGCUGUGGAGGCUAACUCUCCCUAAGGACAGGUCUGUGUGGAUGAAUAGUAUUGGGCUGAGGAGGCUGACUAUCCCUAAGGACAGGUCUGUGUGGAUGAAUAGUAUUGGGCUGUGGAGGCUGACUCUCCCUAAGGACAGGUCUGUGUGGAUGAAUAGUAUUGGGCUGUGGAGGCUGACUCUCCCUAAGGACAGGUCUCUGUGUGGAUGAAUAGUAUUGGGCUGUGGAGGCUGACUCUCCCUAAGGACAGGUCUGUGUGGAUGAAUAGUAUUGGGCUGUGGAGGCUGACUCUUCCUAAGGACAGGUCUCUGUGGAUGAAUAGUAUUGGGCUGUGGAGGCUGACUCUCCUUAAGGACAGGUCUGUGUGGAUGAAUAGUAUUGGGCUGUGGAGGCUGACUCUCCCUAAGGACAGGUCUGUGUGGAUGAAUAGUAUUGGGCUGAGGAGGCUGACUCUACGUAAGGAGAGGUCUGUGUGAAUGAAUAGUAUUGGGCUGAGGAGGCUGACUCUACGUAAGGAGAGGUCUGUGUGAAUGAAUAGUAUUGGGCUGAGGAGGCUGACUCUCCCUAAGGACAGGUCUGUGUGGAUGAAUAGUAUUGGGCUGUGGAGGCUAACUCUCUCUAAGGACAGGUCUGUGUGGAUGAAUAGUAUUGGGCUGAGGAGGCUGACUCUCUCUAAGGACAGGUCUGUGUGGAUGAAUAGUAUUGGGCUGAGGAGGCUGACUCUACGUAAGGACAGUGUGUGACUGACUGUAUGUGAGCAAAUGUGUGUGUGGAGGGACAGAGAGAGUAAGGACUGUUGUACUCUCCAGGGGAAGAGAAAAACAGAGGAGUGAGUUGAAAGAAGACAUUGUCUUUGUGUUGAGGAAGAGAGAUAGAGACUGAGAACGAGAGAGAGGAAGAUAGAGGGAGAUGGGGAAGAGGCCGGGUAGAUCUGCUGCCUGACUUGCUAAAGUGUAACUGUGUGUGUGUGUGUGUUCUC